rnacentral:rRNA from 1 species
CCGUAGCCCAAGAGAUCGGGAUAACACCUGGAAACAGAUGCUAAUACCGGAUAACAACAGAUGAUGCCUAUCAACUGUUUAAAAGAUGGUUCUGCUAUCACUCUUGGAUGGACCUGCGGUGCAUUAGCUAGUUGGUAGGGUAACGGCCUACCAAGGCGAUGAUGCAUAGCCGAGUUGAGAGACUGAUCGGCCACAUUGGGACUGAGACACGGCCCAAACUCCUACGGGAGGCAGCAGCG